UAACUGCGCGUCAUAGUGUGAACUGCAGGACACAUUUGAACAUCGACAUUUCGAACGCACAUUGCGGUCCGUGGAGAAACAUCCAGGACCACUCCUGUCUGAGGGCCGGCUGUAUAAAAACAAACACCACACUGUUCGCAAAGUUUAACGCUUUGCGGGACAUUUGACGGUUCCGCGCCGACCCUGAGAAGGGGGAGCGUAAGGUCCGUUCAAAAAUUGAUUUUGUUCACUCGUUCGAUCAAACGAACGAACGGACGACGGUACGCGUCGUCACAGAGCGCAAGAGCCACCACGCUCCUGCGACCCUUCGGUGUGCGUCCACUCGAUUGUAACGCGUGCGCGCGUUGCGUCGUGUGUGUUUGCGCUAAGAGGGCGAGCGUAAUGGGCAACGGUGUGUAUCCUGCGCGAACGUUGACGCGUAACGAGUAGGCGGACUCGACGUCCGAAGUGCGUUUCGACGCCGUCGUCGCAUCCGUGCGAUGGCACGGCGUCGUAUCGCUGACGGAUAUCGCGUCUGCCUCGAUUUUUUAUCGUUGGCCUCAGAUCAGGGAGGAUCACCCGCCGAAUUUAA
rnacentral:rRNA from 1 species